CUGUUAGGAAAACACACUUAUGAUAGAAUUUAUUAUCAUAAUUUGAAUUAUUUUCUUUAUUCUGUAACAGAAAUAAAAACAAAAUGUGUGUUUGGGCCAAAAUGGGGGUGGGUUAACAUCAAUCAAAGUCUGAUUAUGACAGGCUAAUGAAAAAUCAUAUUGAUUUCUCUUUUAUCCAAAUGCAUGUAUUUUAUAUACACUUAGUAGCUUAUGACCAUAAAUUAAAUGUGAUCCAUACAUGCUGGUACUUGUAUGCUAUGAGCUGAUGGGCAUGUCUUCCCUUCUUGCCCACAGGGGCUCGGUUAUCAGAUAUUGAAGUUUUGUAUUAUUUGUUCCUGAAUAAUAAAUUGAAGUUUUGCAUGAUUUGUGUCCGAAUAAUAAAUUAUAUAAAUGCAAGGUGAAGAUAACGAACAGUGAUCAAUCUCAUAACUCCUACAAGCAAUACAAAAUAGAUAGUUGGGCAAACACGGACCCCUGGACACACCAGAGGUGGGAUCAGGUGCCUAGGAGGAGUAAGCAUCCCCUGUUGACCGGUCACACCCGCCGUGAGCCCCAUAUCAUGAUCAGGUAAACGGAGUUAUCCGCAGUCAAAUCAGUGUGCCAAGUACUUUAAUGUACACAUGAUACACCUUUUUGAAAACCUCUAAAAAAGCGGAUUUUGGUGGUGGAUUUUAUUUAUAUAAUUUAUUAUUCGGACACAAAUCAUGCAAAACUUCAAUUUAUUAUUCGGGAACAAAUAAUACAAAACUUCAAUAUCUGACAACCGAGCCCCUGUGUUCUUGCCGGUCUCCUCCGUGGCCGAGUGGUUAGAGCAUUGCGCUCAAAAUCACACGGCCUCUCAUCUCUGUCGGCGCGAGUUCGAAUCCCAUUCGCGCCGGCAAGUGAGAAAGUUUUCCCAGUUUACUUUCGAAAGAUCGGUGGUCUCUCCCCAGGUAUCUGGGUUCUCUCUUCCACCAAUAAAAAAAACUGGGUGCCACCAGAUAACUGAAAAAUUGUUGAGUUUGGCAGAAAACAUCAAUCAAUCAAUCCCCUUCUUGCCUAGAUUUUCUCUAAUUUCGACUAAAUCCACAGCCCAUCAGAGUACCAUACAAGGGGAUUUAGACACUGGGUACCAUUAAGAAGCAAUUCAAUUCAACUUUUAUAUCUGGGGUCAUUCACUUUCCCUCAGAGUUUCAGUAUUUUCGCUGGACCCUGUAGGUUUUAACCUGAAUUUCUUCAGUAUUUGCCCUCGUGUAUAAUAUAUGCUAGGCAUAAUGCAGAUACCUACAUGAUACAUUUUUUUUUCAUUACCCACUCUGCUACUCUCGCAAUGUAUAAUAAAAUAUUCGAUUCAUUUCUAACACAUGUAUGCAAUCCCUUACCAUAUCUUUAAAUAAAUUUGAGUAAAUAAAUUUAAGUGCGAAACUGUUCCAUGCUACCGUGAAACUUAGAUUUUGCUUUUUAAACAUAAACCAACAAUUCUUAAUUGUGAUUUCUUUUCUUCUUUAAAAAGGGUAUUGACAUCGCAAUAUUUAGUGGGAAGUUCCCAGGUAUCAUCCGCUAGCGACAGUCUACUGACAAAUCCAGACAUGCAUUGGAAGGAUGCUGAUGUGGAGGACACAGGAACACCUGAUCCCAGAACUGUGGCAUUUCAUUCGGGGUGACAACCUGCCUUUCAGUUGAUAUGGGACCCUAUUAUUCGGAGAACUGCAGAUUUUAUGAAGCUGUCUUUGACAGAAGAUUUGGUUUUCUCCAUCUGUGUUGCCACCAACCAUUAUGCUGAGAUGGUCAUAUCUAGGGGGAAGGGUUGCCAUAUACUUCCCAAGGAAGUUUUCAGCCUCUCACUGAAGAGGAACUGUACAGGUAUUACUAGUUUUAAAAACCGAUAUUGUGGCAGUGAUUUCCAGUUUCAAAAGAAUAAUAAAAUGCAUAGUAAAAAGAUUACCUUUACCAAAAUUAAUCUGGCUGUGAAUGUAACUCAUUUAUUAAAUGUGUACUACAAUUACCUCUGAUAAAAUUUCAUAAGUAAUUAAAUGCAUACUUUUCAGAGGGCCUUGAUUAUCGAAAACAUUUACAGAGCCAAUUUGAGUAUUCAAAAGCUUUGACAAUACAUUAGUAUUUAGGACUAAGUAUUAAGAAAUACUUUUUUUUCCAGAUUUUUGUGCAUUAUCUUAUACACGCCUGCUGUGAAGUUCCAGUCGAUAGACAGAUAUUGGUCAACGCAUGCCCCUGUCGGAACAACUCGUUAUCAAGAAUUAUGUCUAGAAAUAGGUUUCAAGAGGUUGAAUAUAAGAACAUUUUUGUUAAAUAUGAUGCAAGUACAUUUAAAUCUAGUGAUUGAAAGUAAGUACUUGAACAUUCGCUUAUGUUGAACUUGGAGAGGAAAAAUGGUUAGUACUUUUUGAUAACAUUUGAUAAGGUGUUGUUGCUUAGCAACCAAAUAUAACUGAAUAAAAAAUAGAUUAUUUUAGAUUAACAAUAAUUGAAAGAUCUUUGUUUUAAUGUUGCAAUACUUAUUCUAUUUAAUGGAACAUAAUGGCAAAACGUCAUAUUAUUAGAAAAUGAUGGACAAGUAUAUAAAGUACGAAGUUUCCAUUUGAUGAUCUUUGACCUUAAUUCUCUUCAUUACAUUUUUUGUUAAAAACCUUUUAAAAUGAUUAAGAUCUAUUUAAAGAUUAUAUUUUUAAAAUAAUGUGACAUUUACUAAUCAUCAUGGAUUGUAAUUACGUUUAAAUUGUGUCGAAUGGAUGCAGAAAGGCAAAUUAUGGUCAAAAUUGUACUAUGAGUGUUGUUACUUAGCAACCAAAAAUAUUUGUUUGUCAAUAAAAUUGAUUAGUUUGA